AAGUUUUGGAGCUUUGAGAACUCAGGAGCUCAUUUUCGUGGAUCUCCAAGUUUAGGUCGUCUCCCUCUCGAUCUUCAAGAGGUAAGAGCCGAUCUUAAGCUCCUCAUGUGUUUUAAGUAAGUUUUAAGUGAUUUUAUGGGGUAGAAUGGCAUGUAUAGGGUUGUAUGAGUUUUUAAGCAAAUGUUAGGUUGUAUGUGAUUCUUGAACAAUGUGGCAUGUUUGAGUAUGCUUGAAGUGUUGUAGUUGGGGUAUUUGAUGUUUUGAGGCCCCUAGGAUCUUGUAUGCAUGUUUUAAGUGAGGUAUAUGCAUGAUUGGUGGGUUUGGAGGCGAAAACGCACAAAGGAACCGAGUUUCUGCCCUUUGGCAGAAACCAGGUUCGGCAGCCGAAGGCACUUUCGGCCGCCGAACAUGGCUGGGGAGGCAGGCCUUUCGGCUGCCGAAGUUGCCCCCGAAAAGAGACUUUCGUCUCUGUCUGGGACUUUCGGCUGCCAAAGGUGCCGCCGAACCUACCUGAGUUUCGUCUCUGUCCAGGACUUUCGGCCGCCGAAGGUGCCGCCGAAAGUGCCCUGUUCAGCCACUUCAUGCAUAUCUCUAUGUGAUAUUUUCAGGAUGUUUUAGGGGGUUUUUGGGGAAUAUAUUAGAGUUAUGUUUAUGUAUGUUUGGUCCCUCAUUGGAGUCCGCCUGUGUAGGUUCGGACCCGAGGAACCAAGGACCCCAGCAGUGAGCCAGCUGCUACAGAGUUGUCAGAGUCAGCCAGAGGUGAGUGGAACUAAACUUAACCUUUUAAAUUAAGAAAUGAAAUGCUUUUAUCAUGCUUCAUGCAUCAUGAUCAUAUUAUAGGUUGUUUGCAUUAGAAUUCACGACUAUGCCGCAUUGUAUUGUUGUGAUAGAUGAUAGUGGAUGGACGUUAGGAUGAUUCAUUAGCCUUCUAUAUACGAAGUCCUGUGGUGCCCAUAAUAGGGCCGGGCAAUACGAAGACCUGUGGUGCCCAUAAUAGGGCCGGACAAUAACUCCGAGUACGAAGUCCUGUGGUGCCCAUAAUAGGGCCGGGCAAUACGAAGUCCUGUGGUGCCCAUAAUAGGGCCGGGCAUGGAGUUGAGGGAUUUUUGAAUCAGUCCAUCCGUGGUGUGAUUUAUUUGUGCAGUGACGCAUUUCAUGAUAGCAUGUUUUAAAUAUUUUCUUUAUAGUUCUACUCACUGGGCAUCUAGCUCACCCCUCUUCCCUAACCCCCAGGUUUGCAGGUACGGGAUAGAUAGAGAAGGCAAGAAGAGAAAAAGUCAUAUAUAUGU
rnacentral:lncRNA from 1 species